ensembl:lncRNA
GUGGAAUCAAUCUCUUUGCAUCAAUAUUCAUUAGGGAAAUUGGUCUAAAAUUUUCUUUUUUCUGCUUUGGUCCUUCUUGGUUUAGUUAUCAGUACCAUAUUAGUGUCAUAGAAAGAAUGUGGAAGCACUCUUACUUCCCCUAUUUUCCCCCAUAGUUUGUAUGUUAUCGGAAUCAAUUAUUCUUUAAAUGUUUGGUUUGUGUAUUAGAAAAAUUCCCUCUCUUUAUAUAACAGAAUUCACAUCAAAGAGUAUCUAUGGAUAUUUAUAUGUUUAUGUGUGUGUGUGUUGUGCAAAUGUGUGUGUGUAAUUAUCCUGUUACAAAUGAGUUUCUCAAGUAUUCAAAACCUUUACCAGUAUGUGCGAAAUAUUGGAUUUUUUUGUUUAUGAAAGAAAAUGUAAAGACACACAUUUAAAUUUGAUAUAAAAAAAUUUUUUUAAUAGUUAGAGGGAUCCCAAAGGGAUAUACGUCUUUUUUUUCCUUUUUCUUUUUUUUUUUUUUUUUUUUUUUUUUUGAUGUGCUAAAACAUUUAGGGACAGUAUUAGAACUGCAAUUCCCCUGACACUGCUUAUAAAAUCCUGAAGAUGAAAAAUAUCCCUCAGAAUGAUUACUAAUAGGCAGAAACAAUUUGUCUUUUUUUUUUUUUUAUCCCAAUCCCCAUCCCCAAGCAGGGUAUACUCAAGAAAGGAUUUGCACAUUUAUGCUAUGGAAGUGUUAACUAAUAGUAGUACCAUAGAUAUGAAUUCUGAAAUUCUUGUCAGGAAAUGCUAAAAUGCCCAUCUUGGGAACUUAGAUUUCCACAUGUCUUGUUACCAUAGUUAAGACAACUUUGAUGGGUCCAGACUGCCUUAAUUAGUAUCUUUAUGAUACCGGUGAUGAAAAGUUCCCAGACUAUUUGGUAAACCCCAGAGGGGAGCCAUGUUUUUCCAGAAUGUCAUUAAGAUGGUCUUAAAAGCUCAAUACACAUCCCUUAUCUUCUCAAUUCUUCUGUGAUAUUUCCCUUCUUCCCCUGAGAACCCCAAAUUUAUGUUAGCCCACUACAAGAUGUGCUUAUGAUGAAGAUUUUGCCAAGUUCUUUUUAGGACUAAGCCAGGUAUGAGCUACCUCCUACAUGGCAUCUUCCUUUUAAUGAUGUCUUUCUCUUUACUGUAGCUAACUCUGGUUAGAAUGCUAAACUCCUCGAUAGAUUUCACCCCCAUUUAGUAGUAUACUGAUAUCUUCCAGCAUAUUUCUUUAAUGAUUUCUUCAAAAUACCUUUCUUUGCUAAGGCUAUUGGUCUACCAAAUCUAUUUUUAUCGAACCCUUCCUGAUGCCUGCUGUAACUCUUCAUUCUUUCAGUAAAUUGUUCUCAUAAAUAAAGAUACCUUUUGGCAAAGAGAAUGACCUUAUGAAUUUUUCACAUGCACCUUGGAUUUUGUAUUUCAGAUUAGUAAUUGCUACUCUCGCCCUAUCUUUUCUUUUUAUUUUUUUUUAAUAAUGACAAGAGGCUAGAAGCAUUUUAUUUUCCUGUCAUUACAUUUGCUAUCCCACAGUUGUUGGGCCAUUUGGGGAACAUAAAGAGGGCACCUAUACAAUAUAACCUCUCUUAAAUGUAGCAUAAUCCCUGGAUACUAAUACCAGAGUUUUGUAGAUGAGAGACAUAUUCUUUUCUCUGGUACUGCAAUUGCACUUCACACCUUGGUGACAUUUUAAUUAGUCUAAAUUUAUAUGCUUUUUCAGUAAAGCCUAUCACCCUUAGAAUCAGUGUUCUUGUUAGAAUGAUAAAAAGGAAUUAUUUCUUUGCAAAUUCCUUUUAAGAUCUAUUGUGACUUUAGACUUAAUAAAAGGUUGUUGUUUCAUCUUUUAAUUUUUAGUACCUUGCUGAUAAGGCUGGAGGAGAGAAAAGACACAUGAAAAAAAAAAUGAGAAUCCAGAAGAAAAAAUGGGAGUACUAAGUGUGCAUUAUUCAGACUUUAUAUAAAAGCUAGUAAUGUAAUUUUGAAGUUUUUUCUUUCAAUCUUCUAUUUUGGAUAUGUUAAUUUAUUUCAAUAAUCAUUUUAGGAAAAACAUUUUGUAGCUAUAAGAUAAGGAUAAUGACAUAUUAUCUUAGAAUUGAAUUACAAAUAAUUGAAUCUUAAUGGUGUUAAAUUAGUAUUUAAGUUGCAAGAAAUUUGUUUUACUUCUGUAAUUUGCUAAACUGAUGCUUUGUGGAAACAGUUUGAAUACCUUAAGAAACACUUGGAUGAACUGACUUCAAAAAAUAGACACUUGGAAUAUAUGAAUACAAAACUUAAAGAAGAAAUUAUGGAAUGUGACGAGCUGGAUCUAGAAGAUAAUUUAGAAAGAUUGAAAUUAAAAUACAAUUGGGUGGAACCAUAUACACCAAAGAUUAAAAUACAAGUGAAGCAGGAAACUGAAGAACUAAAUGAUCUAUUCUUACAGGUUAUUUUAUUUAUCAUUUUUAUCUUUUUAAACUAUUUCCAUGUAAAUACAGAUUUAGGAUUCUUCCUGUAUUCUAAAUCCAGAAUCGUUUUUUUUUUAAUUUUCCCUCUACCAUUUAUUCUCUAUUAUUAAAAAAAAAAUUAUUCUAUUGAUAUCACCAUAAAAAGAUAGAGAAAACAUUGCCUUUUGUUGUAAAUUCUGAAAAUAGACUAUUCUCUUCCCUUGUCAAAAAUGUAAAAUUACAUAUCCUGGAUACUUUGUUUCCCAGUUAAUCUUAUAACCAUAGAUAAGGUAACCAUUAUGUGCUCAGAUUACCUUAAAUUAGAAUCUUUAAGAUGCCUAUGAUAGUCACAUAAGCUUUCCCAGACAGCCUUUGUUACUGUGUCCAAGGCAAUCUCUACACCUCAAUAUGUAUCCUUGUUCCUGCCUUUAUUUUCUCUCCUCCCUGAGAUGAUGUCAACUCCCUAAGGUUCUAUUUCCUGUAUAAAAAGUGUGCUUAUGUUUAAGAUUUUUUGCUGAAUCUUUUCCUGGUAUUUUCUAAGUCACAACAUCUUCUCUCUCCUUCCUCCUGCUAAAUUGUGAGUACCAAUAGGGAAAUAAUCUUUCCCCUUGUUAAUUCAUAUAAUAAAUAGCAAACCUUUGGAAGCUCUGAUCAAUGUCUAGUCAUGGUUCUGUGUCAUGAACUGAAUCUUUAUUUUGAAGUUUUCACAUAAUAAUUCAUUUUACAACUCUUUCCUCUCCCACAUCUAGUUUUAUUUACCCAUCUAGCUGUCUAUUUUAUACCUUUGAAAUCAUAAGUGAAAAUAACCACAUAUACUAUCAAGUUUUUAAAAAAAUAAUUGUCAUAAUAUAAAAAAUAAGCAUGAGUUGUUUUCUUUUUUGUUUGUUUUUCAACCAAUUUUUAAAUUGGAAGAAAACAUUUUUUAAAAAAUUCUGGAGGUACUUUUUUUUCAAAAUAAACUCAUUAAUUUUAUAAUGAUCUAACAUAUUAGCCCUAGGAAAAGAACUUGGUGAACUAUCAUCCAAUAGAAAUAGUCUUUUCUUAAAACAUUCAAAUGUAAUUUAGUUUUCCUUGACCUGAGUCCCUUCAAAGUUAGAAUCUAUUUUUAGGAAUUCAGAAUUGCUCUCUAAUCACUGACUGCAAUUAAAAUGAAAGCUAGCAGAAUAUGUUAACAAAUAAAUUUAUAAUUUUUAAGAUAGAAUUAGGCAUUUUUGUUAACGUACUUCUUGUUUUCCAUUUGGUUUAGAUUCAAGACCUGGAAGCUGAAGUCUUAAAAAUGAAAAUCUCACAUCAAGAGACUAAAGCAAAACUAGAGAGAUGCAAAAAGGAUUAUUCUCAAGAAUAUAGGUAUACCUAAACACAGACAGGAAGAACAAAGUACUUAAACCUAGAUUGUUUUUAAAUUUUUCCAUUUGGGUCAAAGGACCCAAAGUGAAAACAUUUCUAGUCAUAUGAAAAGGUUUUCCAAAUCACUAUUAAGCAGAGAAAUGCAAAUUAAGACAAUUUUAAGAUACCACUGCAUACCUGUCAGAUUGGCUAACAUGACAGAAAACAAUAAUGACCAAUGUUGGAGGGGAUGUGGGAAAACUGGGACACUGAUCCAUUGUUGGGAACUGUGAAUGGAUCUAGUCAUUCUGCAGAGCAAUCUGGAACUAUGCUCAAAAAGUUUUUUAAACUUGCAACCCUUUU